CCAAAUAAAAAUAUUUUAGAUGCCACUAAUAAGAAAAUUGUUGUAGUGAAAACAAAAAACUGAAAACUUCUUCUCUCAAUGCAACACAUAAAUCUCCUAAUAAAAUCUCCCUCUUUCAAUAAUCUCCCCAUCAAGAAUAGCUUUCAGCAUAAGCAACCGUCCUUUCUUUUCUCCCUCUUUUUUAACAACAAAAUGCUUUUCAUCAAGCAAGGCAUGAGUAAUGAAUUUUGGCACUUCUGCAUCAAGAACAUUGGCACCCUAGAUUCAUGACCUUUACCAAUCAUUUGCAGCAUCAUAAGAUCCUAAAAAAGACAAUGAUUAGAAAAAAUAAAACACAACAGCUUAAGGAAUAAGUAAGUUUUGGCAAAGAUUAGGUUAAAUGAGAAAUUAGGCAAACAUAACACCGAGGUUAAAGGAGGGGAUGUGAUCGAGUUAACAGUUCCAGACCCAAGAACAUAAGAAGUUGAUCCAUCAACUAGAGACUUUAGAUAAAGUUGUGUGAGAUUGAAAGAUGGAAAAAGAAAUUGAAUUGCAUGUCAUAUGAUCUGUAACACUAGAAUCAUGUCCCAUUUUGAUGAUGAAGAAAGAAGACACUUGGUUUAUUUGACUUAGUGAUAGCAGUAAUAGAAAUAGUUUGCUCAAAUGGUGAAAUAGUCUUGGUACUAAGUGUUGCAACAUUAGUCUAUUGUGCUCUCUGAGCCUUAUUUUAAAGCUUCACACAAUAACUCAUUGUAUAGUUUGGUUCAUGACAACAAUAACAAAAUAUUCCUCAAGUUUUCUUAUUUGUGACCACCAUCACCCCACUCAUUAUCAUAAUUACACGAUCAUAUUGUCUUGUUUCCAUGACAAAUAAGAGCAAUGUUGUUAAUAUAGACUGAGUAAGACUUUUCAGUGUGUAAUACUCUUGUAAAAGGACCUUGAAGAGAUGGAAUCUUUGAACCAGACAAAAUUUGCGAUUUGUAAUUCUCAAAGUCAAAAUGAUCAAAAACCAACGAAGGAACUCAUAACAACCAUUUGUUCUCAUUGAGAGACUUAUCUUGUUUCUCUAGAUAAUAGAAUGCUUGGCAUACCUCGUAUAUACAAGAAAUAUUCCCUUACCUAAAAUAUAAAAAAUCCAGGUACUCCAUUGACUCAUUACCUCAAUGUCAAUAGAAUUUCAAAUCUACAGAAAGGAUUGAGCAUCUUCUCUCAGCCACACUUGUUUGGUAUAAUUGAUAAGAGGUUCAUUUGUCAAACGAUCAUCUUUAUCAAUACUUCGUAAAUAAAUUCAAAUUGUUUUACUCCAAUCUAGAUAAUUAGAAUCAUUCAACUUGUGCUUUGUAAUUUUUGACAUCAUUGGGAUCAUAUCAUUAACAGAAACUUUACUAACUCCCAUCAUGAAGAUAAUUGAAUAAUCAAUUCAAUCAAAUAACUCCACAUAAUAACAUUAAAUUCAAGCAACCACAAAUUCAAAGGACCCACAUAAUAAAUUUCUCAAAACCUAAAAUUCAAGUUGCCACAAACGCAAAUGACCCAUAUAGCAAAUUUCCCAAAACAAUUAGGAAAUAGUGAACUGUGAUGAAUAAUGAUGAAAAUAAGAGGCAAGAAAGAAACCCCUUUCAAGACAGAAGCAAACUAGCAAAUCAAUGGCUGAGUCAUGGUCAGAGUAUCGAGUCGACCUUGUGGGAGGAGGCUGGAGGUUUGGUGUGAGACGUGUAGUCACGCGCCUCUAUGUGUUGAUGUGCGGUGAAGGCAUUAGAACAGUCAGCGACGCGUAAGGGCCACACAUAAGGAUUUUUGCUACUGGAUUUCAAGUGUUGGCCGGAAAAGGUGACACGCACCUCCUUGGGCCAACAAUGAGAACCAAAAACCACCUCUUAGUGGUCACAAGAAUACCCUCAAAACUCACUAUUUCACGAUAAAUUUGACGAAACUAAAAUUCUAAAUCGCAUCUUUAACUUUGAUAUCAUGUAACAAAAGUAAAAAUUAAGAGAAAAACUUAUAUUAUUUAUAAAAGAGAAUAUCACACACAUAUAUAUACAAGUUACAAGAUUUUGGUUAAAGAAAG
rnacentral:lncRNA from 1 species